rnacentral:rRNA from 1 species
CCGGCAAACGGGUGCGGAACACGUACGCAACCUUCCUUUAACUGGAGAAUAGCCCCUCGAAAGAGGGAUUAAUACUCCGUAACAUCCCGAUAUGGCAUCAUAAUGGGAUUAUAGCUCCGGCGGUUAAAGAUGGGCGUGCGCCUGAUUAGGCAGUUGGCGGGGUAACGGCCCACCAAACCUACGAUCAGUAACUGGUGUGAGAGCACGACCAGUCACACGGGCACUGAGACACGGGCCCG